ensembl:lncRNA
GUUGCCAAUUUCUUUCUCCUCCUUCUUCCUCUUUUGCCAGUAAGUUCAAGCAGUUGCCAGACCGUUUUUUUCUCCUCUGAUCCUUCCUGAAAGUCAGGCCUCCCUGGACGAUUUGUUCUCAGACAGUAUAGCAGGACUUUCCUUGACCCUAGCUCACUGGAAGCCGUUUGCUUUUCCUUCUGGGAGAUGGUUGGGCGGUUGGGUCCCUGCAGGCAUCCGGGCACUGUUACCAGGACAAAGGCAUCGAUCUCGGCUGAGAGAACGCUGAGAUGUAUUGACAGAGAGGUUUGCAUCGAUCCAGCAGGAAGUAAGCGGUGUGUGGUCACCUGCCCGGGAAUGAGACCCACUCCGUACGAGAGACGAGGGGGCUACAGACGACGGGGAGGCUCGGGGCUCCGAGGCUGCAGGACCCCCGGCCUGGGGUCACCGAGACAGCCUCCUUCCCCAGGAUGAGCAGAGCGGCUGCAGAGUGGUGGGGAGAGGCCGCCCACGGAGGGGUGGGCGUGGACACGGCAUGGCCCUGCCUGGCCCACCCACAGGGAGACACGCGGUGGAGCCCCCGGGGGUCUCCCAGGACCAGCUCCUCCCACCCCGACCUCAGGGGAAGAGCUGUGGUCAUGGAAACCGCUCCAUCGUCUGAAUUUCAGAGCUGGGAAUAUUUGAGUCAAUCAAGAAAUUCAAUUAGCGGAGUGACAUGUUGUCACGCGUGGCUCUGCCGCCCCGCUUCCCAUUUUCCGGGAGAUAAUUGGUGUAUUUGCGACAAAACUGCAAUUCAAUAUUUAUCGGCUGCUGCUUUUCAAUAAAGGAAUACUCGGUUAGACCCUC